CAAAAUGUAGCUUAAUCAAAGCCUUUCGCUUACACCGAAAUAAUGUUUGUUAAACUCAAACCAUUUUG
rnacentral:tRNA from 1 species